rnacentral:rRNA from 1 species
CACGUAGGGCGCAAGCGUUGUCCGGAAUUAUUGGGCGUAAAGAGCUCGUAGGCGGUUUGUCGCGUCGGCUGUGAAAGCCCGGAGCUCAACUCCAGGUCUGCAGUCGAUACGGGCAGACUUGAGUGUUGCAGGGGAGACUGGAAUUCCUGGUGUAGCGGUGAAAUGCGCAGAUAUCAGGAGGAACACCGGUGGCGAAGGCGACUCACUGGACACGUAUUGACGCUGAGGUGCGAAAGCGUGGGGAGCAAACAGG